rnacentral:lncRNA from 1 species
AAUUCAAACAAGAAAUGCACUAGCGGAAACAUACACAAACGGCUUACACGAAGGUAAGCAAUAGCCAUUAGUGAAAGAAAAAGGAAACUAAAUAUUCACUUAUACUAUGAUUCAUUUUUUGAUCAUAUACAUUGCAUUCAUCUUCUAGUUCCUUAAAUUUCAUUACAUAAUUUCAUCAUUUCUUUCUUACAUCACAUUUACCUCAAAAUAAGCUUUACAUUCUUUUCUUUACAUUACUAGUCAUCAAAUACAACAGAUGAACAUAGGGUAGCUACUAUCAAAAUGUAAUCCAACUCCGGUGGCCUCUGACUACGGCGCGAUACCUUUACCUCGGUCGCUCGCCGGCUCGCUAGGUCCCGGCUCUGUGGAAAUAGUGGGGUGAGAACUACAACAAAGUUCCCAGUGGGUUCGGCCUCAACAUCACCGACUUUCCCACUAGGACUAACUCAGGCAUAAUAGAAAGGAUAAGCUGAAAUAUGGUAACCAAUCUACAACAGGAUGCUAAUAUGCCUGAACAAUAAGCAAGGAAUAUGCUCAACAUUAAAUAAAUGCAGAUUAUGCAAAUUCUUUUGUUCUUUAUCUUUACACUUUGUUCUUGUUCUUUGCACUUUGCUCUUUGUUCUUUAUUCUUUAAUCUCGAGGCUAACCCGGGGGUUUCGCCACAUUAACUUGCUUCACAUUAAGUCCAUCAUCGCAGGAACUCACCCGCUAGGACCGUCCUUCGGGUCUACUCCAACCCGUGAUGCAUAACUCCGGAGCGCAUCGCCCGAGGGGGAGCGACCGCCCUCGAGCACGGAACUCAUAGCAAGUAUGAUCGUAUCCUUAACUCAAAGGAUUUAUAAGUUCAAUCUUGACUUUACACUAGCUCUAGUGUUCAUUACAUCACUUUAUGUUGCCACUCUAGCAAUCGUUGUUCUUUACUUUUCUUUUACUUUGGUUUUCUUUAGCAUUCUUGUUCUUUACAUUUCUCGUUCUUAUUGCCCCACUUUACUUUAACUUUACACAUUGUCAUUUUCAUCAUUCUUUACAUCACUUUGGUUCUUUGGCUCACACUAACUCUAGUGUCACUUUACUUUACGUUUCGAAUGCCACUCGAUCUAUGUCAUUGUGUCACUCUGUUCUUUUGCUCACUUUGGAUGCUCACUUUUCUCUCAUGCAUACACGUAGGGUUCUAACAUUCAUAAGGUUCUCAUUCAUCAUAUUAUGCAAGUUGUACUCACAAUCAUGCAACACUACAUUUUCAUCAUUACUUUACCCUAAAAUGCAUGCAACAACAUAUAUAUAUGCUCAAAUGAAUGACACAUUAGGCAUAGAGAGAAGUUCAAUGAGUUUGAGAAGCACCACCCACCUCGUAGGCUUUCAAAGGUGCUCCGAUGAUUUUCUUGGGAUUUUUUUGACCCUUCGUUCUUUACCUGCGGCAUAACGAAGCCAAAUUAGGCUUAUUUGGCCAUAACUUUGCAUCGGCUUUUCAUAACGUUAAUCCGAGCGCACCAACGCGUCGGAAAUACCCCCAAUUAGGUUUCUAAAGGGUCAAUUGCACUUAGAAACCCUCGUGAGCAAAAACCCCAAUUUGGUGCCCUAGCUCCAAUACAUAUCUCAAACCUAGGGUUUGAUCUAAAAAAGAAGCAAAAAUAGCUUCAUUAUACUCUAAAAAGUCCAUUAGAACCAUCUUUAGACAAAUCAAAACCCUACUUAGGGUUUCACCAUGAGAGGUGAUGAAGCUUACCUCAAGCUUCACCAUUUCUAUGGUCUUGAUCUCAAAAGAAGCAAAAGAAAAGUUUCAAAUACUCUAAAUACUCCAUUAAAACCAUUUCUAGGUUAAUCCAAACCCUAGUUUGGAAUUUAGCAUGAGAAGGGGCAAAGCUUACCUCUAAACUUGCUCAUUUUCCAAGCUAGAGAAGGAGAGGAGAGGUUUUCUUCUUCUCCUUGUCUUCUUCUUCACUUUCUUCCUCUUCUUUUCCUUCCUUUCCUUGUCUUCUUCUUCUCCUUCUUUGUCUUCUAAAGAGAGAAAGAGAGGAGAGAGUGUGAGAGGGAGUGGAAUGAGAGAAAAGCCCUCAUGUCCCUCCUACAUAACCAUUGGGCUGCAAAAAUGCUAAUAAACCCCUCAACUUUCACUCUUUCACACAGCCUGGACUGGGCUGUUCGCGCAGGCGGGGACCGGUCUCUCCUUCAGGGACCGGUUCCCGAAGGUCGUCCCCGCGCAGCCAGAGCUGCUGCGCGCAGUGCAACCGGUCUCUCCUUGGGGGACCGGUCUCUCGGGUAGGGACCGGUUCCCGAGAGCUAGUUUCUUAGGACAUAGCCGAUUUUUUGACUGUCUCACUUCAUACGCGUUCGGGGACCGGUCUCUCCCAUCAGGGACCGGUCCCCGAGAGCUCAAAAAUCUGCAGUUUUGCAGAAUUUGAUUCUAUAGCUCUCGAAAACCUCCCGUAACUCGCUUUUAAUCAUUUUAACACCUUCGGACUUCCGAAGUGUACCAUCCUCGCACUUUGGUCAAUUUGACUAAAGUUCGACAUCUAUUUUUCGAAUUUUCGGUAUAUUACAAUACAUCUUGGUGCCGCCUGGGUGAUCGGCAUAUGGAGACCGAUGCACUUCUUAUAGAAUUAGCUCGCGAAGCUCCCCAUCUUUCAGCACACACCAUCGGUUUCGAAACCGAAGUGCGCCAUCGGCGUCUAUACUGAAAUCGCCACCUCGACCAUCCUUGAUGUUUCGCCGCACCUUUUGGAGUUCUGGGUCUGCGGGUUGCAGAUCUUUGAUCCUCUCCAACAAGGUCGGUUGGACAAUGAGCGCCAUCAACUGGGCUGGAACCUCGGGAGCGACCACCUCAAGGUUCAUCCGCUCGACUUUCUGCUCAAUGCAUUAGUGACCACAUUGGCUUUCCUGGGGUCGUAGAGGAUAUCCACAUCAUAAUCCUUUAACAGUUCUAACUACCGCCGCUGUCUCAUGUUAAGCUCUUUCUGUGUGAACAGAUAUUUCAAACUCUUGUGGUCGGUAUAGAUCUCACAAUGGGCACCGUACAAGUAGUGCCGCCACAGCUUCAAGGCGAAGAUUACCGCUGCUAGCUCCAAAUCGUGGAUGGGGUAAUUCUUCUCAUAGCUCUUCAGCUGACGGGAUGCGUAGGCAAUUACCUUCCCGUUUUGCAUCAAUACAUACCCCAAUCCAAGAUAGGAGGCAUCGCUGUAGACCACAAAAUCUUCACCUUGCACUGGUAGAGCGAGCACCGGAGUCGAAGUCAAUCUUUGCUUCAACUCUUUAAAACUCCGGUCGCACUCCUCGCUCCAAAUGAACUUAGUGCCUUUCUGAGUCAGGCGGGUAAGUGGAAUCACUAUCUUGGAAAAGCCUUCCACAAACCGCCUAUAAUAGCCCGCCAAGCCCACGAAGCUUCGAACCUCCAUGAUAUUCGUCGGGCGCGGCCAAUCCUUGAUUGCCUCAACUUUCCUCGGGUCUACAGAAACUUCACCCGCGGAAAUCACAUGCCCUAAGAAGGCGACCUCUCGGAGCUAGAAGUCACACUUCUUCAGUUUAGCAUAUAGCUUCUCCUCCCGAAGGGUUUGAAGCAUUAUCCUCAAAUGCUCGGCAUGUUCCUUGUCACUAUGAGAAUAGACCAAUAUGUCGUCUAUGAAGCCGCAACAAAUCGGUCCAAAUACUCUCUAAAGACACAGUUCAUCAAAUCCAUGAAUGCUGCUGGAGCAUUCGUGAGUCCAAAUGGCAUGACCGUGAAUUCGUAGUGUCCAUACCGCGUGCGAAACGCGAUUUUUCUGCACAUCCUCCGGCUUAAUUUUUAACUGGUGAUAGCCGGACUGUAAGUCUAUCUUCAAGUACACACAUGAACCCUGCAACUGAUCGAACAGGUCAUCGAUUCGGGGUAGUGGGUACUUGUUCUUGAUCGUGACUCUGUUCAACUCUCCAUAACCCACGCAGAGUCGAAACGAUCCAUGCUUCUUCCGUACAAACAACACCGGGGCUCCCCACGGUGAUACACUUGGCCGGAUAAAUUGCUUGUCGAGGAGGUCUUGCAAUUGACUCCUCAACUCUUUCAGUUCCGCCGGCGCCAUUCGGUACGGAGCCUUCGAGAUUGGUGCGGUACCGGAAACCAAGUCUAUGACGAACUCGAUCUCCCGAUCCGGUGGUAUCCCCGGUAAUUUCGCGGGAAAUACAUCCGGGAACUCUCGCACCACCAAUAACACCUCUAACGUUGGAGCUACUCGUUCCAGUUCCACAACAGUCGCUAUGAAUGCCGUGCAACCGCUGUUAACCAACUUCUUUGCUCUCGUCGCCGACACCGUCGCGACGAAGCACGAGCUUUGACAAGCCCGAUAUGUGAACUCUUCUUGUCCUGGCUCACGGAAUGUAAUUACUCUGCUCUUGCAGUCAAUCGUUGCGUGAUAUUUCACGAGCCAGUCCAUGCCCAGUAUGACAUCGUACGCCUUCAGUUUCUUGAGUUCCAAUGUCCGGAUAGUCAUAAUCCAGUCGCCUAUUUGUACCGGGCACAAGGCGCACUCCGAAUAGGUAUUAAACGUCGACCCAGGGCCCUCCACUCGCCACUUGUCACUCGCCUCUAUGAGAAUGUCAUGCAUGUGUGAGAAUGACCUACUAAUGAAUGAAUGUGGCUCCUGUAUCAAAUAAAGCCCUGAAGCGAGCUCCGUGAAUUAAAAUCAUACCUGCCACAAGGCGAUGCUCAUCCGCCUCCGCAGGUUCCUCGGCUUGGACCUGAGCGGCGAAUACCCGUCCGCUCGGGGCCGAUCACGCCACUUCAGGUUGACGCGGCAUCACCGCGCGUCCCGUCGACGCGGCCACCGGUGGAGCUCCUCCAUAAUGUGCCGGAAGCACCGGCGCCGAUGCAAUGGAUCGGGCAGGUGAAGCUCCUCCUCCCGGGCAAUCUCGAAUGAAGUGCCCCGGCUGCCCGCAUUUGUAGCAUCUGCCUCGGCCUUGCUCACAGUGCGAGACUGGGUGGUCUCCACCGUAUACAAUGCAUCGCCGCGCUCCACCGCUCUUCUGUUGAGUGCGCGGAUACUUCGGGGGUUUCUUGUAACGUGUUUGUCCCCCCGAACUACCGCCGCCUUAGCGUUUCUUGCCCUUAUCCUCGGACUCGGCCAAAAGCUCACGCUUCUCCCGAACGUGGGCGUCUCCGUGCUCCGCCCAUAGUGCUCGGUCGAAGACCUCUGCAAAGGUCGUGAGCUUGAGUAUUUGCACGGCCUUGUAAAUUCCCGGCCGAAGUCCUCGCAAGAACCACUCGGCCCGGUCCCGGUCAUCCUUUACAACAUCCGGGACGCAUCUAUUGUAAUGCACUGGAUCUUGCUAAUCGCAAGAUUCGAGUGUCUGAUCUGUGUGUGGAGCCUUUCCACAGUCUUUGGAGUGUCGUUGAUAGUGUUCCGACCCCUGGCUGCAAUUUCGUCGGCCUUGUACCGGUACAAGAGCCUGUGUACCAGUACAAGGAGGCAGUUUUGUGCAGAAUGAAACUACAGGGGGUUUUGUGCGUUUGUAACCUUCUAUUAGUAAUCCCACGCCCCUUAGGGCUUCCCUGAGCUUCACAGCAGCAGGAGAAGAGGUAGGGGAGUUCUCCACACCCUCCCUUUCUACUUCUUUGAUCUUGGUUGGUUUAAUUUAUGAUUUCAGCCUCUCUUUUUCCCUCUUUUUGCUUCUUGGUGUUCUCCCUCCAUGGAAGGAGCUUGAAGCUUGGUUUUGGAGCUUGUUUGAGGGGAGAUUUUCAGAUUUUGGGGACUUGGACACUUGUUGGAGGCUUCCAAAGAGGUUAGAAGCUUAAUCUUUUCCUUUGAUCCUUAAUUUAUUGGAUUUCUUGAGUUGAAACCCUAGAUUGUGAUAUUAGGGUUUAUUUUGGGUAUUUUGAAUCUAGGGCUUUUGAAGCUAGAUUGAGUGGAUUAGAGGCUUCCAUUUGGUUGGAUUGGAAGGGCUUUAGCUCUCUUUUGGAGAUUUAGAGGAGAUUUUUGCACUAGAGGUGAGUUCUUCUCACCUAUACUUGAUUAGCCUAAUGAUUGACCUAGGUAUUGUUCGUUUGUCUCGUAUGACACAUGUUUCUAUACCUCUAGGGUACUAGGAGACUAGAGGACACCCUCGUUGGAGCGAACGAGGAGUUUCGUCGUCAUCGGUGGGUUUGGCUUCGUGGAAAUGGAGCGAAAUGGCCCCUAUGCUCUUUGUACUUGUUGUAAAAUAUUUUGAAAUUCAUUUCUAUGCUAAAUGGAAUUUAUAUGAAUUUUAGAGCACUUAAAAUGCAUGCCUUGUGUAUUAUGAAAAAUUUCACUAUAUAGUAGAGCUAUAUGAGUAGAACGCAUGCAUACGGGAAAAGUGUUUAUUUUGCAAGUGGAAAGUAAAUCUCUUAUGAGGAUCGUGACUUGGAACAAGUACUUUGAAACAUAGUUGCCAUGCCUUGACAUAGAAAAACAAGAGUGUCAUCAAGGGGCACUUGAAACUAGUAAACUAUUAAACUGCAAUAUAGAGACAUAUUGAUAGGCCACUACGUAUCUGCUGUAUUCCAUGUUAGAAACAUGAUGACAUAGAGAUAGGCCAUUGAGAUACUCGAUAUAUUCCAUAUUGUUAGACAUGAGGAUUUGGUACUUGAGACGGAUCAUUGCUUGCUUGCCAUUUGUGCUCAUUCGCACAUGCUUGUGAGGAUCGCUCCCUACAAGCCGGCACUCCGGAGAUAGCCAUCGCGACAUAUGCUCGCCCGUGCGGGAUUGGGCGCCGAAGUGGAUUGCCGUGGGGGAGGCUCAUCCCUAGAGUGGGGAUGUUGACUACCACGGGGCCAUUAGGCACGGCGCAGGCCAGACAGCCUUCGGGUGGGUCUUAUAUGAUUGGGACUUGGUGACAGANCCGAAGUGGAUUGCCGUGGGACAGGCUCAUUCCUAGGGUGGGGAUGAUGACUACCACGGGGCCAUUAGGCUCGGCACCGGCCAGACAGCCUACGGGUGGGUCUCAGGGCCAUAGACAGCCUUCGGGUGGGUCUCUUCAGAGUUGACUUUGUGUACCCAUUAUGACAUGUGGACAGAUGAUGCCUUAGUGUACUACUUGGACAUUGACUAGAAUAGUGAACAACGGAACUUUACUAUUUCACACUGUGAACAUCAUGAUUGUUGGAGAUUUUUACUUCAUGCAUAGUUGCUUUCAUACUUAUGCUAUUUUUGCUAAGUAGAGAUAUCAUGUCGUAGUAAGUUACACUUUUACUUACCUUUCGCCUUUCUACUUUUAUAGUCACUGACAUCCUUUCGUAGCUUUGGGCCUAGUGGUGCAUUCACUGAAGUCAGUAAUUGCCCACUGGGAACUAUUUUUAAUAGUUCUCACGCCCCUGUUUUAUGUUUCCUUUCAGAGCCUUCGGCACCGGCGGAGGCACGGGAUCGCGGCAAGGGUGUCGCGUAGCUAGCUCGCGGAGAGUUCUUUUGCGCUAGGUGGUUACUCCUCCAUUUUAUACUUUGUGAGAGAGGGAGAGGUUUUGUACCAUGUAUAGAGAGACCACCUUGUACUCCUUUUAGCACUUGUUAUGGGAUCUCUAUUGUACUUAAUAUUAUGUUUUAUGUAGUGGACUUUCAGCUUUAUGUCCUUUCCUUGUUAUAGAACUAGUUAUACAAUGCUCUGAUAUCACUAGAUCUCUUGUAUUAUUGUUUUAUCUAUCGAAAUUUUUAUAGACGCCUUAUAUGUUUUAGACGUAUGGCGGGUCUGGGCAUGCACCGUGUAGGCUUCCUCUGAGCCCCGGGGCGUGACAGAUUAAUUUCGUAUCAGAGCCUAGGGUUGAGUCUUAGGGGACCUAGUAAACCUUAGGCCGGUUGGACUAUAGGAAAUAGGCUCGUGAGAGACGAGGUCUAUUCGACUUGUAAGCGAAAGUAUCUAGAUUGGGUAUCUUGAAUAACUCUAGAAAGUGGAGUUAAAUUGAAGUGUAUAACUCCUAACUUCGCGGAGGGUUACGUUGGCGGCCGACAACGUAACAUCGGGAGUUAGUAGUGAAGAACAUUUCUUUACUUUCGCAUGAUUUGGGUAUUGUUUAUUUGAGCGGGGAUGCGAUAGCGUGGGUUUUUACUAACUUGCGCUUUUAUGAUGUUGUAGUAACGAUGUCGAUUACUCUCUCCCAAUCUGCCGGGGCGGACAAUGCGGCAAACAUCGAGGAGGUCGAGACCUCCGCUUCCUCCGGAUCCAGCGAGGUCCGUGAGUUGAGGGGCCAGCUUGCGGCCCUCACUGAUUUGGUCACUCAGCAGGCGGAGACGGCCCGACAGUAGACCGAGGCGGCGCGCCGACAGGAGGCGCGGAUGAAGCGUCUGGAGGACCUACUAUUGCAGCAGGCGGCAGCUUCACGGGAGACUCAGGCCCCUACACCGCCAGCACCAGUUGUGGACGUUGCACCGAGAGCGCCGUCCCCCGCUCCCAGUUCUUCGCGUGCGGUGCUUGUGGCCGCACCCCAGGAGGAGGUUUUGGUGGCACCACCUGUGCUGGGGCCCCCGGUUAGAGCAGCUUUCCCUACCUUGGUUGAGGGGGCGGAGCGAGACAGACUGAUGGAGCGCCUCAACGAGUUUUGGAGGUGCAGCCCCCGAGUCUUCGAUGGCGAGAAGGGCGACCACUGGAUCGUGGAGAAGUGGUUGAUGCAUAUGGAGAAGCUCUUCCGCGACACCUUCGUGGAGGAGAGGGACAGAGUUUGGCUCGCCACUCACCACUUGGACGGGGAGGCCUACCGCUGGUGGUUGGACUUUCAGGAGCACCCCAGCACUGACUUGGCAUCUAUCACCUGGACGAGGUUCAAGGAGCUUCUUUUGGCCCAUUACUUCCCGACCAGCGUCAAGCGGAAGAUGGAGCAGGAUCUGCGCAACUUGGCCAAGGCGACCGGACCGUAGCUGAGUACGAGAGGGAGUUUUCUCGGCUUCUGCAUUGCGUGCCUUUCGUCGUGCGGGACGACGAGGACAAGGCCCGCAUCUUCGAGCGAGGAUUGAGACUGUCUAUCUUCCGGUUUGUGCAAUCCUUUAACCUCCAAACCUACCGGGAGGUGGUGGAUCGCGCGCUCAUUGUGGAGAGCGGCNNNNNNNNNNNNNNNNNNNNNNNNNCCUAAAUAUAGAAUCAGCGAGAAGAUACAUAAGAGAGCAUUCGGAUCAACAAGAGAUCAAAAAUUAUCUAGAAGCAAAAGGCAUUACCUCAGAUCGGGAAUUUCCAAAGUCAAAAAAGAGAGCUAGAACCCUCCAUCAAGCCCAAGAAAGGUUUCUAACAUUCAAUCUUACCCGAAAAACCCUUCGAUCAAACAGCCCCAAAUCAACCCUAUACCCAUUCUAGUGAAGUUUCAAAUGGGCAAAAAUUUACCGAACAAGAAUCAAAGGGUAUUAGAAUCAACAGAUUAUACUUCUAGACUUGCUCAAAACAAGUCCAAAUCUUCUAGGGUUGAAGUUGGUUCACCCAAGCCCUACAGACGUCCAAGCCUUGCAAAGGUGGGAAAAGAAGAGAAAGGGUAAGUGAGCUCCAAGUCCUAAGUAUAGUCUUUUCUUCUUCUCCUUCUUUUUUUUCUUCUCUCUAUUAGAAGUGUUAACGGAAGGGUGGAAUGAAGAAGAAUAGAGAGGGCAAGGAGGAGGAACAUGGAUAUAAGGACCAUCUGAGUGUAACAAAUUCGUGAGAGGCGCCCUCAAAAACUCCGAUUCAAUUGCAUCAGAGCCUGAACUGCGGCGUUUUCGCCAGAAGGGACGGUCUCUCCCACGUAACAGGACCGGUCUCUCACUACGAUAUCCGAAAGCCAACUUUAGGGAACCGGUCUCUCAUGUGGAGACGCGGUCUUCUGCGAGAGACGAAUUCGUGAACGCAGGUUCUCGCGCAGGACCGUUGCCUCAGAGGCCUGCCAGCAAGACUGAUCAUGGAGAGACAGUUUACUAUCCAGGACCGUCUCCUGAGAGUAAGACUUAAUAGACUUAUCAGAAUUCCAGGUUUGAUUUUUAGGUGGAAAUAAUUCUAUCGACCUCCACCAAGCGAUGGGAAGUCUGAUAAAUCCAAAACUCGAACUCGAAAUUGCAAAAGUCAAGUGUUUACAAUGGCUCUCCCAGGCAAUCAACUCGGACGCCCAGAUCCCGCAAACGUAAUAGCGAGCAUUAUGUCGCGAUGGCUAUCUCGCAAUCCACAACCAGUGCGGCUAUGUAAGAGGCGGACAUCACAAGAUGUGCGAAUGAAAAAUGGCUAAGCAAGCAUGAUCGUCUCAAGUACAAUCUCAUGUUAACAAUAUGGAUAUAUCGGUAUCGCAUGGCAUAUUCUCUAUGUAUCAUGUUUCUAACAUUGGAUACCGAGUACGUGGGACAUAAUAUGAUCUCUAUGUGCGUUUAAGUUUAAUAGUUGUCAGAUGGCCCUGAUGACCUUUGUUUUCUAUGUCAAGACAUGGGCAACUAUGUUUCAUGGUAGAUGUUCCAAAGUCAGAGAUCAUCAUUACAUGGAUUCUUUCACUUUAGCAAAAUGACACUUUUCCGGUAUCUGCGUUUACUCGUAAUACUAUAACUAUAUAUAGUUAAUUUUUAAUAUAUACAAAGGCACAUGCAUUUUAGAUGCUCUAAUUCAUAUUGUAAAAUUUCAUUGAGCAUGGAAAUGAAUUUUAAAAAUAUUUACAAACUGUACAAGGAGCAAUGGGCCCAUUUUCGCCCUUUCACGAAAAGCCAAACACGACGAUCGACGAUGAAUACGUCCUCAGUUCGCUCCAAACGAGGUGUCUCUAGUCUCGCUAGUACUGAGAUGUCAUCGGCACCGGGACGAACCAAAUUAAUGCGCACGAACCGGAGACGUACAAACAGACGCAACGACAGAGUUUUACCCUAUCACCGCACAAGUCAAUAAUGUACAAAUUUCAAACAAGAAUUGCACUAGCGGAAACCAUACCAACACGGCUACAAACGAGGUAAGCAAUAUGCAUUAGUGAAAAGAAAAAGGAUUAACUCAUUCUAUGUACUAAUGUGUAUUUUUGAUAGAUACAUGCAUUAUCUUGAGUUCCUUAUUUAUUAAUAAUUUCUCAUGUUUUUUCUCUCAUUACCUUCAAAUAACUUUACAUUUUUUUCUUAUACAGUUUAUAGCGCUAAUACAAGAUGAUAUAGGGUGUCUCACUACACCGACGGCCAAGAGAAGACCCCCAAAAUGAACAAUCUCUUUUGUUUAUUGUGAGACUCGUGGACAACUCCGUUCGGCGAAUCGAAGGAGCACGCGACGAUUCGGUGGGUUUGACCUAGCCUAUGAUAUGAGAAAUACUCAUAUUUGGCAAAUAUGUUUCGUAAAAUAGAAAUUCAUGCAUUUUCAGGUUAAAUGUAUUUAAUAUGAAUUUUAGAAUGCUCAACAUGCAUAUAUUAUGUAUAGUGAAAUUUUAGACCCCUAUGUGGUAGAGUGCUUGCAUGUGAGACUUAGCAUUCUAGUUAUGAUUGGGAACCAUGAUCUCUAUUAUGAAAACGGAUCUUGCUCUCUUGCAUUUAACCUAUAUGCCAGUUGGGACAUUAGGAAUUUUAGAAGCCUAGAGAGGGCUUGAGAAUUUGGACUAUUUGAGAAUUGGGCCAAUGUCAUAAAGAGGCAUUGGGCCCGGGCUAUAGUAGUCAUUAGUAUUAAUGUUUAAAUGAAACAUAGAACAAGAAUUGAGCUUGAUCAGUGUGAUGCUUAAGUGUCAUAAAGAGACACUAAGCAAGUGAGUGUUGGGACAUCACUUAGAGACAUUGGGCUAGAUCCUUGGGAUGCUAGUGACCUUGCCAUGUUAGAGACAUGCGGAUAGAGUAUUUGAGACAGUGACCUUGCUUGUUUGCUAUUUGUGCUCAUUCGCACAUGCUUGUGAGGGUCGCUCCCUACAAGCCGGCACUCCGGAGUUAGCCUACGCGACCUAUGUUCGCUCGUGCGGUAUUGAGAAGCCUACGGGGUUGAGUGGGACAGACACAUCCCAAGAGUAGGGAUGUUGGGCUACCACAGGCACUUAGGCGACACAAGCUGGACUACCUUUGGUAGGUCCUUAAUUGGAAAUAGAAAUCGACACGGUGUUGAGUUUAUUAUGAACACUACUAGUCUGAGAGUAGUAGUAGGAUUAUUUGGACUUCCUUCUAGCAUAGUUGUGGACAUUUGGGUAUUCAUACAUACAUGUAGUACGCUAGGAGAUGUGGUUUAUUGCAUCCUUAUAUGCAUUGUAGUCAUGACCAUGUAUUACUUUCAUAUCUGUAUAAAGUAAAGCAUGAUAUUACUUGGGAACAUAUAUAUCCAUGACAAGAUAAAGUCGCAUUAGGAAUGCCAUGUUUAAUUGCAAGUUGUAGCUUAGCAUCCCAAUUAUUAUGCUUUCUAAUAUGCAAUUUAUUCGUUACUCUUAUUGUUAGACUUACCCUUUUCUUUGGGGCCUAGUGGUGCACUGAGCUGAGGUCAGUAAUUGCCCACUGGGAACUAUAAAUCAUAGUUCUCACGCCCUCUGUUUUGUGUUUUCUUUCAGAGCCUUCCACGCCGGGAGAGGCUAGAGACCGCAGGAAGGGAGUUGCUUCGAGCUAGCUUCUUUUGAGGACGAUUUGAUAGGUGGUCUACCUCUCGUAGUUUUAUUUUGUGAGAGGUUGUGAGUUGUACCUGUAUUUGUAGAGAGACCACCCUUCUUUUGGAUCCUUGUAUUCCUGUUGAGGAGAUAUUAUUUGUACUAUCUUAUUGUUUAGUUAUGCUUUCUCUACUCUUGCUUAGAUGAUAGAACCUUGCUCGCUCUGAUAUCACUAGUUGUUACUGCCCUAUUUGUACUAUUUCUUGCUUUUACUUCCGCUUUUAUUGUAGACGCCUUAUAUGUGUUGACAUAUGACGGGUCUGGGCACGCUACCGGGAGGGCCUUCGCCGGUCCCGGAGCGUGACACUCAUCCCUAGAGUGGGGAUGUUGACUACCACGGGGCCAUUAGGCACGGCGCAGGCCAAACAGCCUUCGGGUGGGUCUUAUAUGAUUGGGACUUGGUGACAGAACAUGCUAUGUGAACUUUAUAACUGUUAAAGUGGACUUGGACUAGAAUAGUAAACAAUGACAUCUUUACUAUUACAUUGUGGACUUUGGGUAGUUGCAUAAUCAUGCUUUAUAUGUUGGGUGUUCAUGUGCAUAUAGUUAGUAGUCGCUUCCUUACUUAUGUAAAUUGUGCUAAGUAGAGGUAUCAUGAUCAUUGGGUACUCGUUUAUUUAUUUACUUACAGCGCAUUUAUCGCUUUUGUUAUAAUGUACACUGACCCUUUUUCUUUUAGUUUCGGGCCUAGUGGUGCAUUUCACUGAAGUCAGUAAUUGCCCACUGGGAACUAUUAUUUAAUAGUUCUCACGCCCCUGUUUUUAUGUUUCCUUUCAGAGCCUUCGGCACCGGCGGAGGCACGGGAUCGCGGCAAGGGUGUCGCGUAGCUAGCUCGCGGAGAGUUCUUUUGCGCUAGGUGGUUACUCCUCCAUUUUAUAUUUUGAGAGAGAGGGAGAGGUUUUGUACCAUGUAUAGAGAGACCACCUUGUACUCCUUUUAGCACUUGUUAUGGGAUCCCUAUUGUGCUUAUUUUAUGUUUUUAUGUAGUGGACUUUGAGCUUUAUGCCCUUUCCUUGUUAUAGAACUAGUUAUACAAUGCUCUGAUAUCACUAGAUCUCUUGUAUUAUUGUUUUAUCUAUCGAAAUUUUUAUAGACGCCUUAUAUGUUUUAGACGUAUGGCGGGUCUGGGCACGCACCGAGUAGGCUUCCUCUGAGCCCCGGGGCGUGACAUCUAUAAUAUGGGAGAACUCUUGUUCAUGCUCCGCCACUGGGCGGUCCCCUUGCUCUAACUUGCGGAACUUCUCCUUGAGCUUCCGCUUCAAUGUAUCGGGGAAAUAGUUGGCGAACAUCUCCCGCAUAAAUUCCUUCCACAGUAUUGGCAGAAGGCCAGGAAGCCGAUCCCGUUUGACGUGCUUCCACCAGACCUUCGCCGCCUUUUCCAAGCAAUGGGUGGCGAGAUACACCUUGUCCCUCUCCAAGGUACGCAAAUCAUCGAAGAGGGUUUCCAUCGAGUCGAUCCAAGACUCGACCAUCUCCAGUUCCACCUUCUCGCCCUCGAAGGUUGCGGAUGGAACUUGUUGAACAUGAUAAGAGCUGCCAAUGCGCGCUCUCCUUCCACAUCUUCGGCCGUCACAUCGGGUGUAGCCGAUCCUUACGCCACCUGUGGUAAGAUCGCUGGCGGUGGGCGUGCCGUCACCGGAACCGCCGCUAUACCCUCACCCUCAGCCGCUCCGGGUACAUGAGUCGAGGGUGCCGGCGGACCACCGCCCUCAUUCACCGUCGCAGCCGCCGCUUCAACCUGCCGCUCCAAAAGAUCCUGGAGCCGCUCGAAUCGGGUCUCCUGGCACUGCACCACGUUGGUCAACGCGGUCACUUGCGCCCGCAACUGAUCCAUCUCGCUCGGUUAAGCCUACUCGGGCACCUCGGGAAGCGGUGCCGGAGUAGACCUCGUGCUCGGGCGUCCUCUUGGUGCCAUUGGCUCCUGAAACGCAAGUACUUGGUUAAUUAUCUUAACCCGUUCAUUUCGUCGUAAUUUCGACACACAACAACUCAACAACGAAAUCGGGCGGAAGCACACAAGUGUACUUGUUCUAGACUCUUGGUAUCAUGUCGUCGGCCGCCGACACAACCACCUCAAGACAAGAACUCAUACCACUUGAAUCCGUCUCUAAUCACAAUUAGAGACAUAUUACCCACUUUGACCCAAUCGAAUCAACUUCCGCCAUCGCCAUAGGUUCACGUUCCGCUCACGCACCUAUAACCUUAGGGCUUACCAACCUAGGGUCUCCUAGGUCAUCCUAGACUUUCUCUCUUUACUUGCUCUCAUUGCUCUGAUACCAUACGACUGUCACGCCCCGCCCCGAAACCCCUACCAAUUUGGCACGAUUCGGGCGCGGCGAGCGGAUCGCCGAACGGACAGCACCUCCCCUGUCCGCCCAAGGCUCAACAACAAGAAUGUGUACAAGAAUUUACCUAGAAAAUUUAAAUUCUAAACAUACACAUUCAACGGGGCACAAGUAGUGCCAACAACUAAGAGGAAGUAAUCCACAAGUAAAAACAAGUGAAAUAAAUAGAGUACUUUACUCACUAUUGCAAUAGUUCAUCCUUUUCAUUUACAUCAUUUUCUUUAAAUGAAUACAUUUUCAUCCAAAAAUACAUAGCUCUCCAAAUCCUCACCUACAAUGAAUCUCUCUCAAUACAUAGGUGUGCUAAUGCAAAAAGGAAAGCUACUAUACUACCACGGUCUCACUGGUCGGGUGCGAUGCCCUUGCCGCGGUCCUCGCUCGGUAAACCUGUACCUACCACUGAAAAUAGAGUGGGGUGAGAACUAUCUUCCAUAGUUCCCAGUGGGCUCAGCCGCCGACGCUGCCGAUCUCCCCACUAGGUCCAAGUGGGCACAAGCAACAACAGAUAGAUAGAUAGAUAGAUAUCUUGUUACGGAUUUUAAGUUGACAUAUUUCGUGAAGUUAGUCGGAGUCUUGAAUGUUUGAAGAAGAAGAGAUGAAGAUCGAAGACUCGAAGACUCAAAACAUGAAUGCACAAUGCUCGGUAAGUUUAAAUACCAUUGAUGAUGAUUUAUAAAUGUUUAAAAGUGUUUGGAAGACUUAGGAUGGUUUUUAAAAUAUGAAUCUGGACAAACUGAGUUUUUCAAUGUGCUGGGACCGGUCCCCUGAGAUGAGAGACCGGUCCCCGAGGGUCCUUACUGCGUGGGAUGUUGAGGCAACCGGUCUCUGGAUAGGGAGACCGGUUCCCGAACAUAGGAUUUUCUGCCACGCAGCGAGGGACCGGUCUCUGGCAUGAGAGACCGGUUCCCGAAGCCUGUGUUUUCAGGCAUGCAACGAGGGACCGGUCUCCCAAAGACCGGUCUCCUCGAGAAAACCGGUCGUUGAGGACGAUGUCAGUUUUUAAAAUUGGGUUUUUGCAAUCCUAGUGUGUUUCUAAGUCUUCUAAACCUAUAAAUAAGAUGUAGGGGUGUUUCUAAAAUAUAGUGAAGCAUAGAAUAUCUUUUAAAAAUCCUAGAAACUUGUUGGGUGCUCUCUUUCUUUCUCUAACAUCAAGUUUCUAUUGGAUCAAUUCUUGAAACACUAAUUUCUUGUUCUUCAUGGAGAAUUGAUUGGGCUAUUGCUUAGAAACAUCUUCUACGGUUCUUUAUUGAUUGUCUAAGCAAUAAAUCAUCAUCAAUCUUGGUAUUCUUGCUCCGAAUGGAGUGUGCUCGUGGAUUUGAGUGGGCGUCGUGGAUUCGGCGUGAUCAAGGCUUCGUGGAUUCGAAGUGUGGACGUAUUGUGGAUUCGGGAUGCGGCGUUCGUGGAUUCGGACGUGGGGCGUGGACAACACGUUGGUGUGCGCGAGAUCCGGAGAAGAUAAAAGAGAGGUUUGAGUCAGUGGAAUCGGUAAAUCACCUUGUAAUCUUUUAUUCUUAGUGGAUUGUUAUCGCGUAUUGGUCCCGUGGUUUUUUACUCCUAGUUGGAGUUUUCCACGUAAAUCUCGGUGUGAUUUUUAUUUUUCGCAUUUAUUUUGAUCGCAUUGAGAUUUGUGUUUUUCUGCUUUUACGACUAUUCACCCCCUCUAGGUGUUGGAUACAAUCUAGAUAGAUCCUUGGGCACCCCAAAACUUUCAAUUGGUAUCAGAGCGGGAUCUAGAUAAAUUGUUAUCUAAUGGCCGAAGGCGGAAACAUUAAUCGACCACCGCUCUUCGAUGGCACAAACUAUGCCUAUUGGAAAGUUUGCUUGAGAGUUUUUCUAAUCGCAAUCGAUGAGCGCGUUUGGCAAUUAAUAGAAUUUGGAUGGAAACAUUCUAUUGAAAAGGUCGAGAAUGUUGAAACGCCAUGUAGCACACUGGACCUAUGCAAAUUGCGAGGUUCGAGUGAUUGGACGUGUUUCGAGCUUUUCCACACUUGGUGGAGGGUCGUAGGAUGUUUUCCGACCUAAAAAGUUCGAAAACCGAAGUUCUGGACGAGUCCUGAGAGUUUUUACUCUCGGGGACCGGUCCCUGUUAGGAGAGACCGGUCCCCCCAGAACAGUACCGCUGCAGGGUUUGAGACAACCGAUCCCUGGCUGUGAGAGACCGGUUCCAGAGCGCGCAUUUUGCGUGGAGGGUCCGAGAGACCCGUCUUGUGCGGGGAGAGACCGGUUCCUGAACGUCGAAAUUUCAGGGCAGGCCGAGAGACCGGUCCCAUGUCGGGGAGACCGGUCCCUCCGUCCGAAAACUGUCCAGUCCGGGCUGAUGCAAUAUUGGGAAUUUGAGGGGCCUCUUUGGAUUUUGUUACCUUGGAUGGUCUAUAUGGCCAUUUCACCCUUUCUCUUCUCUUAUUUCUCAUUCUCCCACUCUCCCAACACCCUAGAUAGAGGAAAAGAAGAAGAAGAAGGAGAAGAAGAGGAGGAGGAUCUAGCUUGAAGGCUUGGGCUUGGAGUAUUUCUUUUCCUCUCCUUCUCUUCCCACCUUGUUGGUGCUUGAAGGCUUGGACUUGGAGCUUGCAAGAGAGGAGAUCUUCACCCUUGGAGCUUGGAUUGGAGCUUCUAAGGAGGUUAGUUGCUCAUUUCUUCCCUCUAGACCAUGUUUUGUUGGUUUUUAGGAGAUGAAACCCUAGAAUGGAAAAUCUUUGGUUUAUUUGGGGCUUUUUGAUUUAGGGCUUUUUGAGCUAAUCUAAUUGGAUUAGAACCUUGGUUUAAGUUGCUUUGGAAGGGAUCUAGCCCUCUUUUGGAGCUUGAGAGAGAUUUUCUUCUCCCUAUGUGAGUUUUGCCCCUUUUCUUGUGGAGAUUAAUGUUUGAGCCUAGAGUUGCUCAUAACAUUUGUUUAUCUCUUCGCUCCUUACUUUUAGGAUACUUAGAAACUGGUGGACAACUCCGUUUGGCGAAACGAAGGCUUCCAAGACGGUUCGGUGGGUUUGACCUAGCCUGGCAUAUGAGAAAUUCUCAUAUCCCACGUUUUAUGCUUCGUAGAGUAAAAUUCAUGCAUUUCUAUGAUAAAUGUAUUUAUUGUGAAUUUUAGGAUGCUUAACAUGUCUAUAUUAUGUGUAAGAAAUUUCAGACCCCUAUAUAGUAGAGAGCUACCAUGUGGGACUUGUACACGAUUGGCAUCCUAUUGAGACUUGGAAUCAUAAUUCCUAUGGUGAAAAUGAAUAUCACUUUCAUGCAUUUAAAGCUAUUCCUACUCAAGACCUAAAGGAUCUUAAUAAGCCUUAAAGGGACUCGGAAACUUGUGCUACUUGUGGAUAAUUGAGCUAAUGUCAUAAAGAGGCAUUGAGCUCGGGUUAAAUGAGAACCUAGUACUAAUGUCAUGAACAGAGCAUAGACUAUGAAAUGCGUUAACUUAUAACAAGCUUAAGUGUCAUAAAGGGGCACUAAGCAUAGUGAGUGUUGGAACAUCACCUUGAGACCUUGAACCAGAACUUUGAGAUGCUAGUGACUUGUACCAUGUUAGAGACAUGAUGAUUGGGUAUUUGAGACGUUGACUAUACUUGCUUGCCAUUUGUGCUCAUUCGCACAUGUUUGUGAGGGUCGCUCCCUACAAGCCGGCACUCCAGAGUUGGCCUACGCGACUUAUGUUCGCUCGUGCGGUAUCAGAAACCUACGGGGUCGCGAGGGAUAGACUCAUUCCUAGAGUAGGAAUGCUGGAGCUACCACCGACACUUAGGUGGCACAAGCUGGACUACACUAUGUAGGUCCUAGAACAUGUUGGAAACAAUGACAUUGAAUCGGGAAAUGACUAUCACUACUAGAUAGGCUUAGUAGUUUGAUUACCAUGACAUGCUCAUAGCAUAAUGUUGGGACUUGUGGUAUACAUGAUAGUCUUAUUUGUUGCAUCAUAGCAUAUUUUGCUGCCAUGAUAGAGCAUACCUAUCAUACAUUGAUAUAUAUAUAGUGGAUCAUGAUACUACUUGCGCGUUAUGUUGGGACAUAUUAGUCAUGCUUGGACAUACUUCAUUUUGAUAAAGCAGAUGUACAACACAUUUGACAUCAUGUUUAUUUGCGACAUAGCAGUUUAGCAUUUUAAUCAUGCUUCCAUAAAUGCAAUCCAUCUAUCAUUAUUGUUGCUUAUUGUACUUACCCAUUUCUUUUGGGGCCUAGUGGUGCAUUGAGCUGAGGUCAGUAAUUGCCCACUGGGAACUAUAAAUUAUAGUUCUCACGCCCUCUUUUUCUUGAUGUUAUUUCAGAGCCUUCGGCACCGGCGGAGGCACGGGAUCGCGGCAAGGGAGUCACGUAGCUAGUUAGCUGGGAGCUACCUGUGAGCUUAGGUGGUUUACUCUUUCUUUUGUUUUAGAGAGAGAGAGCGAGAUUUUGAGUACCAUGUAUGGAGAGAGAGACCACCUACAUACUCUUUAUGUUUAGUUUUUGUAUUUGGGCUUCCCUUUGUACUACUCGAUGGUUUUAUUAGUGGAUUUCAAUUUUAUACUUACCCUCUCUAUGUAGAAUUUAGUUAUUUACCUUGCUCUGAUAUCGCUAGAUACUGUUGCUUUCUUACCUUACUUCCGCUAUUAUUGUAGACGCCUUACAUGUGUAGACAUAUGGCGGGUCUGGGCACGCACCGGACGGGCCUACGCUGGGUCCUGGGGCGUGACACGCCAAAACCACGAAACAAGUGGACAAAAGAUGAAAGCGAGGCAUCUUCGUUUAACGGCAAGGGUAUAAAUGCUUUAUUUAAUGCAUUGUCUCAAACGGAGUUUACUCGUGUUUCGGCGUGUGGAACCGUCAAAGAAAUUUGGGAUACUCUACAAGUUACGCAUGAAGGAACGAGAUUAGUAAAGGUCCAAAAAUUGCAAAUAUUAACAAGUAAAUUUGAUUCAAUUUUUAUGGACGAAAAUGAGACCUUUACGGAGUACUAUAUGCGUCUUUAAGACGUUGUGAAUACAUGUGUUAACUUGGGAGAGAAAAUCUCGGAUGCUAAGGUUGUUAGAAAGAUUCUUCGAACUCUUCCGAAACGCUUUCGGGCAAAGGUUGCCGCGAUUGAAACCGUUAAGCAUCCGGACGAGAUGGAAGUCGAAGAAUUAGUAGGCCCUCUACAAACGUAUGAGAUGACUUUUCCUACUAAUCAAUCUUUUGCCAAGUCUUUUUCUAAAAGUACAGGGGUUGCACUCAAAUCGACAAAGAAAGAAGACGACGACUCGAAUUCCGACAGAGAUGUUUCGUUUGCUGACUUCGAACAUCAAUUAGCGCUCCUCACGAAGAAAUUUCGCCGGAAUUUUCGAAAGAAGAACAAUUCAGACAAAUCUUCAUCUUCGAAGAUUAAAUCCUUUUCUAAGCAUUCUUCUAAUUCAAAAUCUAAGGAUAAAAACCUUGCAAAGCCUUCGAAAGAAAAAGAUGAUUUUGAAGGAAAAAUCCAAUGUUACAAGUGUAGAGGCUACGGUCAUAUUGCAACGGAUUGUCCCUCUAAGAAAUCAUAUACAAAGAAGGCUUUGCAAGCUAAAUCUUGGGAUGAUUCAUCUUCAAGUGAAUCAAGUUCAAGUGACGAAGGAAAGAAUGAACUUGAUUUGUUUACUAACACUUCUUUGCCUUCGUCUAACGUUGUUUGUUUAUCCUCUAUUGUUUCUAACUCUAGUAUUUCGCCUUCCUUGCAGGGCACUCGAGGCGAACGAGAAAGCGAAGGAGAAUCAACACGACGAGGAUAUAGCGGAACGCGUAUCAUCAAACUUCUUAUUGAUCGAAAAAGAUGGCCAAACUUAAUAAGAAGUUGAGGCGUCGUUUGUUGGAUUUUUGAGAGGAAAACAACAACUGAAGACAAUGAUAAAGUCUGAGAGGAGAAGAAUCAAUUCAAAGAAUAAUUAAUCCUCCAUGAGAAAACUUGAUGGAGCGCGAAUCAAUGAUCAAAUCCUAUAAAAUAAGAUUGGAUUUUGGAGCAACAAUUUAAGGAAACAUUUACAUCCAAUUAAUCCUUGACCGAUCAAGUUCGUCAACUCCAAUCCGACAUUCAAAAGUGUCUUCUUGGGAUCAAAGAAAUGGAUCAUAUGCUCGGAUUGUGUCAAACGGAAAACUGGCCUCGCAUAUGAAAGAACUUAUGUUGAGAAGGAUCAAAAGUCAAAUUCUAAAGUCUCAACAACUUUUAAAGAGAAGGUGUGUCAUAAAUGUGAUCAAAGGACACAUCAAAAGAGUUUGCCCGAACAAGACAAAGAAGAAUCAUGGCAACUUCAAAAAAUCAAGCAACACCCUCCACUAACUCAAACUUUCUUCACGGAAUUUCAAAUAAAAAUCAAUUGAGUCGAGCACCUCAAGGGAAUAGGUUUUCUAAUGCUCAACGUCAGUUCAACCAAACAUGUCACGGCCCGGGCCGACGUGCCAAUUUGCCCGACCCGAGCACGUAAACAGACGCACGAACAGAUAGAGUUUCCCUUAUCGGCCCAAGGCUCAUCCACAUGCACAUUUUCAUCAAUAAAGAAAAGCACUAGCGGACAACUACACAAACGGCUUACACGAGGGUAAGCAAUAGCCAUAAGUGAAAGAAAAAGGAAACUAAACAUUCACUUGUAAUAUGAUCAUUUUGAUCACAUACGUGUAUCUAUCCAACUUGUAAAGUCCAAAAAUCUUUACAUUCUUUCAUCAUUUCCUUCUUACAAUACCAUUUUUCUCAAAUAAGCCUUACAUUCUUUCUUUCACAUUACUAAUCAUCAAUACAAAGAUCAUAAAAGGGGUAACUACUAACAACUGCAACCAACUCCGGUGGCCUCUGACUACGGUGCGAUACCUUUUACCGCCGUCGCCGCGCUCGCUCGGUCUCGGCUCUGUGGAAAUAGUGGGGUGAGAACUACAACAAAGUUCCCAGUGGGUUCGGCCUCAACAUCACCGACUUUCCCACUAGGACUAACUCAGGCAUAAUAGAAAGGAUAAGCAGGAUAUAGUAACCAAUCUAUAACAUGAUGCUAAUAUGCCUGAACAAAUAGCAAGAAGUAUGCUCAACAUUAAAUAUAUGCAAAUUAUGCAAACUCAUUAGUUCUUUGACUUUACUUUGUACUUUGUUCUUUAUUCUUUGCUCUUUGUUCUUUGUUCUUUAAUCUCAAGGCUAACCCGGAGGUUUCGCCACAUCAACUUGCUUCACAUUAAGUCCAUCAUCGCAGGAACUCACCAGCUAGGACCGUCCUUACGGGUCUACUCCAACCCGGAUGCAUAACUCCGGAGCGCAUCGCCCGAGGGGGAGCGACCGCCCUCGAGCACGGAACUCAUAGCAAGUAUGAUCAUAUCCUUAACUCAAAGGAUUAUAAGUUCAAUCUUGACUUUACACUAGCUCUAGUGUUCUUUACAUCACUUUAUGUUGCAAAUUCAUGCAAUCACAUUCUUUACAUUUUUAUUACUCUUGCUAACUCUAGCAUUCUUGUUCUCAUUGCCCACUUUGCUUUAACUUUACACUUGGUCACUUUCAUCAUUCUUUACAUCACUUUAGUUCUUUACAUCACACUAACUCUAGUGUCAUUUCACAUUCACUUCAUCGAAUGCCACUCGAUCUAUGUUAUAGUGUCACUCUAUUCUUUUGCUCACUUUGGGUACUCACAUUUUCUCUCAUGCAUACAUCUAGGGUUUUGACAUUAUUAGGUUCUCAACCAUCACCUUUGGCACGUUGAACUCACAAUCAUGCAAUCAUCACAUUUCGUCGUUACUUUACCCUAAAAUGCAUGCAACAAUAUAUAUAACAUAUGCUCAAAGAAUGACACAUUAGGCAUAGAGAGAAUUUCAAUGAGUUUGGAAAGCACCACCCACCUCGUAGGCUUUCAAAGGUGCUCCGACGAUUUUCUUGGGAUUUUUAGACGUCUCUUUCUUUACCUGCGGCAAAACGAACCCUUAUUAGGCCAUUUUGCUCAUAACUUUACUUUGACUUUUCGUAACGUUAAUCCGAGCGCACCAACGCGUCGGAAAUACCCCCAAUUAGGUUUUUAGAGGGUCAAUUGCACUUAGAAACUCUCAUGAGCAAAAGCCCCAAUUUGGGUGCCCUAGCUCCAAUGUAUAUCAAAACCUAGGGUUUGAUCUCAUUGGGAAGCAAAAGUAGCUUCAUUAUACUCUAAUUAGUCCAUUAGAACCAUUCUUAACCUUUCCAAAUCCCUAGUUUGGAUUUCACCAUUAGAGGUGGUCCAAGCUCACCUAUAUAUCAAAACUAGGUUUUGAUCUCUUUAGAAGCAAAAGAAAGCUUCAAAACUACUACACAUUCCAUUAAAAACCAUCCUUAGGUUCAUUCAAACCCAUUUCUAGGGUUUUACUACAUUAGGGUUUGAAGCUUACCUUAUAAGCUUCCUUUUCUUGCACUAGAGAGGAGGAAGAUGAAGCCUCUUUGCUCCAAAAGCUUCUUCUUCACCUUCUUCUCCUUCUUUUCCUUCCUUUCNCAGUGGGUUCGGCCCCAACAUCACCGACUUUCCCACUAGGACUAACUCAGGCAUAAUAGAAAGGAUAAGUAAGAUAUAGUAACCAAUCUAUAACAUGAUGCUAAUAUGCCUGAACAAAUAGCAAUAGAUAUGCUCAACAUUAAAUAAAUGCAGGUUAUGCAUGUUCUUUAGUUCUUUUCACUUUACUCUUGUUCUUUGUUCUUUACACUUUGUUCUUUGCUCUUUGCUCUUUAAUCAUUAAGGCUAGCCCGGAGGUUUCGCCACUUUAACUUGCUUCACAUUAAGUCCAUCAUCGCAGGAACUCACCAGCUAGGACCGUCCUUACGGGUUUACUCCAACCCGGAUGCAUAACUCCGGAGCGCAUCGCCCGAGGGGGAGCGACCGCCCUCGAGCACGGAACUCAUAGCAAGUAUGAUCAUAUCCUUAACUCAAAGGAUUUAUAAGUUCAAUCUUGACUUUACACUAGCUCUAGUGUUCUUUACAUCACUUUAUGUUGCAAACUCAUGCAAUCACAUUCUUUACAUUUCUUUUACUUUUGCUAACUCUAGCAAUUAUAUUCUUUAUUCCCCACAUUACUUUAACUUUAAACAUUGUCAUUUUCAUCAUUCUUUACAUUACAUUGGUUCUUUGCAUCACACUAACUCUAGUGUCUCUUUACUUUACAUUUUCAAAUGCCACUCGAUCUAUGUCAUUGUGCCACUCUGUUCUUUUGCUCACUUUGGGUGCUCACAUUUUCUCUCAUGCAUACAUCUAGGGUUUUGACAUUAUUAGGUUCUCAACCAUCUCAUUAUGCAAGUUGUGCUCACAAUCAUGCAAUCAUCACAUUUCAUCAUUACUUUACCCUAAAAUGCAUGCAACAAUAUAUAUAACAUAUGCUCAAAGAAUGACACAUUAGGCAUAGAGAGAAUUUCAAUGAGUUUGGAAAGCACCACCCACCUCGUAGGCUUUCAAAGGUGCUCCGACGAUUUUCUUGGGAUUUUUAGACGUCUCUUUCUUUACCUGCGGCAAAACGAACCCUUAUUAGGCCAUUUUGCUCAUAACUUUACUUUGACUUUUCGUAACGUUAAUCCGAGCGCACCAACGCGUCGGAAAUACCCCCAAUUAGGUUUUUAGAGGGUCAAUUGCACUUAGAAACUCUCAUGAGCAAAAGCCCCAAUUUGGGUGCCCUAGCUCCAAUGUAUAUCAAAACCUAGGGUUUGAUCUCAUUGGGAAGCAAAAGUAGCUUCAUUAUACUCUAAUUAGUCCA